UUGUGCUACUGCAAUAAUAUUCUGUUUU
rnacentral:piRNA from 1 species